GACGAACGCUGGCGGCGUGCUUAACACAUGCAAGUCGAACGGAAAGGCCCUGCUUUUGUGGGGUGCUCGAGUGGCGAACGGGUGAGUAACACGUGAGUAACCUGCCCUUGACUUUGGGAUAACUUCAGGAAACUGGGGCUAAUACCGGAUAGGAGCUCCUGCUGCAUGGUGGGGGUUGGAGAGUUUCGGCGGUUGGGGAUGGACUCGCGGCUUAUCAGCUUGUUGGUGGGGUAGUUGCUUACCAAGGCUUUGACGGGUAGCCGGCCUGAGAGGGUGACCGGCCACAUUGGGACUGAGGUACGGCCCAGACUCCUACGGGAGGCAGCAGUGGGGAAUAUUGCACAAUGGGCGGAAGCCUGAUGCAGCAACGCCGCGUGCGGGAUGACGGCCUUCGGGUUGUAAACCGCUUUCGCCUGUGACGAAGCGUGAGUGACGGUAAUGGGUAAAGAAGCACCGGCUAACUACGUG
rnacentral:rRNA from 1 species